rnacentral:rRNA from 1 species
UACGAACCGUACGAACGUUAUUCGGAAUCACUGGGCUUAAAGAGUGCGUAGGCGGCUUGGCAAGUUGGGUGUGAAAUCCCUCGGCUCAACCGAGGAAUUGCGCUCAAAACUGCUAAGCUUGAGGGAGAUAGGGGUGAGCGGAACUAAUGGUGGAGCGGUGAAAUGCGUUGAUAUCAUUAGGAACACCGGAGGCGAAAGCGGCUCACUGGGUCUCUUCUGACGCUGAGGCACGAAAGCUAGGGGAGCGAACGGG